rnacentral:rRNA from 1 species
UAGGGGGCAAGCGUUAUCCGGAUUUACUGGGGGUAAAGGGAGCGUAGACGGCAUGACAAGUCUGAUGUGAAAACCCGGGGCUCAACCCCGGGACUGCAUUGGAAACUGUCAGGCUAGAGUGUCGGAGAGGCAAGUGGAAUUCCUAGUGUAGCGGUGAAAUGCGUAGAUAUUAGGAGGAACACCAGUGGCGAAGGCGGCUUGCUGGACGAUGACUGACGUUGAGGCUCGAAAGCGUGGGGAGCAAA